ACGGGCGUAGCUCAAUUGGUUAGAGCAGUUGUCUCCAAAACAAAAGGUCGCUGGUUCGAAUCCAGCCGUCCGUG
rnacentral:tRNA from 1 species